AUCCUCAGAAUGAGCUGGCAGGAGGAAAAAGCAUCCAUGAGAACAGUGAUUCAAGGGUGCCAUGAGGUAGCAAGGAAAGCUGGAGAUACUGAAAGGGUGGAAUUAGAAGCAGACCACAUAGAGCUAGAAAGGAUGAGAUGAUAGAGAUCCGGAAAUGUCUGACUUUGCACAGCAUGACACAGAAAUGAACGAACACACACUUACUAUGGGUCUUCUAAGUCAGAUAAACCUUAUGAAAGAAUCAUAUAUUUUUUAAUAUGAACCAAUCAGUCUAAGAUUUGGGGACUAUAUCUGCAUCUAGGGUUAAGACACAUUGACACAUUGUCGCUAAAGAUAAAGAUAUGUCACUUCUUCCAGCUGUUUUUUUUUUCCUUUUUUCAGGGUAAUGUGGUGGUGUGUGGGGUCUCCAGCUACUGAAUGUAUCUGUAAACAUCAGAGGGAAAGCUUCUUGGAGACUAGCCCUUAAGUAGUGGAAUUACACAGUGUAACUUUGCUCUUUCUUUAUAAGAUUUGCCUACGUUAUUUAAGUAAUUAUGACUGAUAAAUGGACCAUCCCAUUCAUUUUUACUAAGAGAAUAAUAUACUUUAUCCUGGAUCAGGGAUGUUCUACACAUAGCCUUCCUCUCAUGAGUGCCUUCAUUUACCUGUUUUGACCCAUUGGUUCUGAAGAACCAGUAUUGGCAGCUCCAUGCAUGAAGAAUGUUCCAAUUUUGUUGCUGCCAAAAAAUGUAUAGGAAAUCAUGUUAGGGAAUGAGAUGACUUCCUGUAUGUGUUGAAUGAGAAGAAACCUUGGAUCUUUUUAAAGAAGACAAUGUACAUGUGCUUACCAAAAGGAAGCAGGUUCCCAGAGAAAACCCAUUCAAACAUAUGCACCUGUGGAGAUCAUAAGCAGCAUCAAGAAGACCGUUAUUUUUAACAAGCAUCAAAAAAUAUGUCUAUAAUUUCUCUGAUCACAGGAAGGACAAAGUACUGCUCACUUAUCAUGGAUACAACAAAGACAGGAAGGGAAUGUCCUUGCCAUAAUCAUGGAUUCCCAAAGGAAGCUUUACAAGGAAGACAAUACUUCAAAAUGUCUUGACUACUGAGGAAAUGGCCAACCAAUAACUGCCCCAACUUGAGACUCAUCUUAUGGGCAAGCACCAAUUCCUGACACUAUUGAUGAUACUCUGGUAUGCUUGUACGCAGGA
rnacentral:lncRNA from 1 species